rnacentral:rRNA from 1 species
GGUAAGCGAUGGGGUGACGCAGGAAGGUAGUCCAGCCCAGGCGAUGGUUGUCCUGGGGUAAGCAUGUAGGGCGUGUCGUAGGUAAAUCCGCGGCAUUUAAGCCUGAGAUGUGAUGCCGAGCCGAUUGUGGUGAAGUGGAUGAUCCUAUGCUGCCGAGAAAAGCCUCUAGUGAGUGUUGUGGCGGCCCGUACCCUAAACCGACUCAGGUGGUCGGGUAGAGAAUACCAAGGCGAUCGGGUGAACUGUGGUUAAGGAACUCGGCAAAUUGCCCCCGUAACUUCGGGAGAAGGGGGACCUCUGUUGGUGAUGGGCUUUACGCCUGGAGCUGGUGGGGGUCGCAGUGGCCAGGGGGAAGCGACUGUUUACUAAAAACACAGGUCCGUGCGAAGUCGUAAGACGAUGUAUACGGACUGACGCCUGCCCGGUGCCGGAACGUUAAGGGGACCGCUUAGCUGACGUGAGUUGGCGAAGGUGAGAACUUAAGCGCCGGUAAACGGCGGUGGUAACUAUAACCAUCCUAAGGUAGCGAAAUUCCUUGUCGGGUAAGUUCCGACCUGCACGAAUGGCGUAACGACUUCCCCGCUGUCUCAACCGCAGACCCGGCGAAAUUGCACUACGAGUAAAGAUGCUCGUUUCGCGCAGCAGGACGGAAAGACCCCGGGACCUUCACUACAGCUUGACAUUGGCGUUUGGAACGUCUUGUGUAGGAUAGGUGGGAGACUGGGAAGCUGUCACGCUAGUGAUGGUGGAGUCAUUGGUGAAAUACCACUCUGGUCGUUUUGAACGUCUAACUCUGGUCCGUGAUCCGGAUCGGGGACAGUGUCUGGUGGGUAGUUUAACUGGGGCGGUUGCCUCCUAAAGAGUAACGGAGGCGCCCAAAGGUUCCCUCAGCCUGGUUGGCAAUCAGGUGUUGAGUGUAAGUGCACAAGGGAGCUUGACUGUGAGACUGACAGGUCGAGCAGGAGCGAAAGCUGGGACUAGUGAUCCGGCAUCGGCGUGUGGAAGCGGUGUCGCUCAACGGCUAAAAGGUACCCCGGGGAUAACAGGCUGAUCUUCCCCAAGAGUCCAUAUCGACGGGAUGGUUUGGCACCUCGAUGUCGGCUCGUCGCAUCCUGGGGCUGGAGUAGGUCCCAAGGGUUGGGCUGUUCGCCCAUUAAAGCGGUACGCGAGCUGGGUUUAGAACGUCGCGAGACAGUUCGGUCCCUAUCCGCUGCGCGCGCAGGAGACUUGAAGGGGGCUGUCCCUAGUACGAGAGGACCGGGACGGACGAACCUCUGGUGUGCCAGUUGUACCGCCAGGUGCACGGCUGGUUGGCUACGUUCGGAAGGGAUAACCGCUGAAAGCAUCUAAGCGGGAAGCUCGCCUUGAGAUGAGGUCUCCCACCACGAGAGUGGGUAAGGCUCCCGGUAGACGACCGGGUUGAUAGGCCGGAGGUGGAAGCACGGUAACGUGUGGAGCUGACCGGUACUAAUAGGCCGAGGACUUGACC